UGACGCUGGCGGAAUGCUUUACACCCUGCAAGUCUGAACGGCAGCACGGACUUCGGUCUGGUGGCGAGUGGCGAACGGGUGAGUAAUGCAUCGGAACGUGCCCAAUCGUGGGGGAUAACGUAGCGAAAGUUACGCUAAUACCGCAUACGAUCUAAGGAUGAAAGCGGGGGAUCGCAAGACCUCGCGCGAAUGGAGCGGCCGAUGUUAGAUUAGGUAGUUGGUGGGGUAAAGGCUCACCAAGCCGACGAUCUAUAGCUGGUCUGAGAGUGAUGAUCAGCCACACUGGGACUGAGACACGGCCCAGACUCCUACGGGAGGCAGCAGUGGGGAAUUUUGGACAAUGGGCGCAAGCCUGAUCCAGCCAUUCCGCGUGCAGGAUGAAGGCCCUCGGGUUGUAAACUGCUUUUGUACAGAACGAAAAGCUCUGGGUUAAUACCCUGGGGUCAUGACGGUACUGUACAGAAUAAGCACCGGCUAACUACGUGCCAGCAGCCGCGGUAAUACGUAGGGUGCAAGCGUUAAUCGGAAUUACUGGGCGUAAAGCGUGCGCAGGCGGUAUGUAAGACAGAGGUGACAAUCCCCGGGGCUCAAACCUUGGGGAACUGCCUUUGUGACUGCAUAAGCUACAGAAGGUACGGCCAGAAGGGGAUGGAAUUCCCGCGUGUAGCAGUUGAAAUGCGUAAGAUAUGCAGGAGGAAACCAACCGAAU
rnacentral:rRNA from 1 species